AACGAACGCUGGCGGCAGGCUUAACACAUGCAAGUCGAACGCCCCGCAAGGGGAGUGGCAGCCGGGUGAGUAACGCGUGGGAACAUACCCUUUUCUACGGAAUAGCUCUGGGAAACUGGAAUUAAUACCGUAUACGCCCUACGGGGGAAAGAUUUAUCGGGGAAGGAUUGGCCCGCGUUGGAUUAGCUAGUUGGUGGGGUAAAGGCCUACCAAGGCGACGAUCCAUAGCUGGUCUGAGAGGAUGAUCAGCCACAUUGGGACUGAGACACGGCCCAAACUCCUACGGGAGGCAGCAGUGGGGAAUAUUGGACGAUGGGCGCAAGCCUGAUCCAGCCAUGCCGCGUGAGUGAUGAAGGCCUUAGGGUUGUAAAGCUCUUUCACCGAUGAAGAUAAUGACGGUAGUCGGAGAAGAAGCCCCGGCUAACUUCGUG
rnacentral:rRNA from 1 species